rnacentral:snRNA from 1 species
UAACUCUGGUUUCCCUUCAAAACGCAUAAAUCUUUCGCCUUUUACUAAAGAUUUCCGUGGAGGGGAACAACUCAAUGAGUCUUAAACAAAUUUUUCUUGACCCAUUAAAUUGGGCCU